ncrna:Glycine max miR4377 stem-loop (gma-MIR4377)
CUGUUAAGUGAUGACAUGGCAGACGAACCACGUUAUUAUGUUUAAUCACUGACACAUCAGUAUCACGUCAUUGAGGGUAAUGAUAUGAUAAUGAAGUGUCCAUAACACGAUGUGAUGAUGUGACAUUAUAUAUGCUACGUCAUCGCUGAAUGGAA